UUGAAAGGCUAUGGUUUCCCUUUAGGGAUCCCAGAAGUAGUUAAAUUAAGACCAGUGAACAAGUAACAUCCUAUAAUUAUGGAUUUAAAGCCAGAAGGGACUUCUUAUUUUUGUUGUUGUUGUUCAGUCAUUUCAGUCAUGUUUGACUCUUUGUGAUCCCAUUUGCAGUUUUCUUGACAAAACUAUUGGACUGGUUUGUCAUUUCCUUCUCUGGCUUCACUUUUACAGAUGAGGAAACUAAGGCAAAUAAGGUUAAGUGAUCCUUAACACAAGCUAGUAAGAGUCCGUGGCUGAACUCAUGCAGAUAAGUUUUCCUGAUUCCCACCCCGGGACUCUGUGGGUUGUGUGGCCCAACUGCCUAAGACAGCACUUAGGAACUCAUCUAUCCCGUUGGACCUUACAGAUGAAGGAAGUAAAUGUUUGUUAAACAGAUGGAAAACCAGUGCAUCUCAAGAAGGCCACGGCACUACUUGACAUCUUGGAACACAACAACAGGCAAUGUACUCCUCAUUCUCUC
rnacentral:lncRNA from 1 species